rnacentral:rRNA from 1 species
GAUGAACGCUGGCGGCGUGCCUAAUACAUGCAAGUCGAGCGAACAGAUGAGGAGCUUGCUCCUCUGACGUUAGCGGCGGACGGGUGAGUAACACGUGGAUAACCUACCUAUAAGACUGGGAUAACUUCGGGAAACCGGAGCUAAUACCGGAUAAUAUAUUGAACCGCAUGGUUCAAUAGUGAAAGACGGUUUUGCUGUCACUUAUAGAUGGAUCCGCGCCGCAUUAGCUAGUUGGUAAGGUAACGGCUUACCAAGGCAACGAUGCGUAGCCGGCCUGAGAGGGCGACCGGCCACACUGGAACUGAGACACGGUCCAGACUCCUACGGGAGGCAGCAGUAGGGAAUCUUGCACAAUGGGCGAAAGCCUGAUGGAGCAACGCCGCGUGAGUGAUGAAGGUCUUCGGAUCGUAAAGCUCUGUUAUUAGGAAAGAAAAACUGUGUACUAAACUAUGCAGGUCUUGACGGUACCUAAUGAAAAAGCCCCGGCUAACUACGUG